GACGAACGCUGGCGGCGGGCUUAACACAUGCAAGUCGAACGGAAAGGCCCUGCUUUUGUGGGGUUCUCGAGUGGCGAACGGGUGAGUAACACGUGAGUAACCUGCUCUUGACUUUGGGAUAACUUCAGGAAACUGGGGCUAAUACCGGAUAGGAGCUCCUGCUGCAUGGUGGGGGGUGGAAAGUUUCGGCGGUUGGGGAUGGAUGCGCGGCUUAUCAGCUUGUUGGUGGGGUAGUGGCUUACCAAGGCUUUGACGGGUAGCCGGCCUGAGAGGGUGACCGGCCACAUUGGGACUGAGAUACGGCCCAGACUCCUACGGGAGGCAGCAGUGGGGAAUAUUGCACAAUGGGCGGAAGCCUGAUGCAGAAACGCCGCGUGCGGGAUGACGGCCUGCGGGUUGUAAACCGCUUUCGCCUGUGACGAAGCGUGAGUGACGGUAAUGGGUAAAGAAGCACCGGCUAACUACGUG
rnacentral:rRNA from 1 species